UACGGGGGGGGCAAGCGUUGUUCGGAAUUACUGGGCGUAAAGGGCUCGUAGGCGGCCAACUAAGUCAGACGUGAAAUCCCUCGGCUUAACCGGGGAACUGCGUCUGAUACUGGAUGGCUUGAGUUCGGGAGAGGGAUGCGGAAUUCCAGGUGUAGCGGUGAAAUGCGUAGAUAUCGGGAGGAACACCGGUGGCGAAGGCGGCUCUCUGGGACGGUACUGACGCUGAGACGCGAAAGCGUGGGGAGCGAACAGG
rnacentral:rRNA from 1 species